rnacentral:pre_miRNA from 1 species
UAGCAGCACAUAAUGGUUUGUUGGUUGUACGGAGAUGCAAGCCAUACUGUGCUGCUGCA